rnacentral:rRNA from 1 species
AGAGUUUGAUCCUGGCUCAGGACGAACGCUGGCGGCGUGCUUAACACAUGCAAGUCGAACGGAAAGGCCCUGCUUGCAGGGUACUCGAGUGGCGAACGGGUGAGUAACACGUGGGUGAUCUGCCCUGCACUUCGGGAUAAGCCUGGGAAACUGGGUCUAAUACCGGAUAGGAGCCAUUUUUAGUGUGAUGGUUGGAAAGUUUUUUCGGUGUAGGAUGAGCUCGCGGCCUAUCAGCUUGUUGGUGGGGUAAUGGCCUACCAAGGCGGCGACGGGUAGCCGGCCUGAGAGGGUGGACGGCCACAUUGGGACUGAGAUACGGCCCAGACUCCUACGGGAGGCAGCAGUGGGGAAUAUUGCACAAUGGGCGCAAGCCUGAUGCAGCGACGCCGCGUGGGGGAUGACGGCCUUCGGGUUGUAAACUCCUUUCGCUAGGGACGAAGCUUUUUGUGACGGUACCUAGAUAAGAAGCACCGGCUAACUACGUGCCAGCAGCCGCGGUAAUACGUAGGGUGCGAGCGUUGUCCGGAAUUACUGGGCGUAAAGGGCUCGUAGGUGGUUUGUCGCGUCGUCUGUGAAAUUCCGGGGCUUAACUCCGGGCGUGCAGGCGAUACGGGCAUAACUUGAGUACUGUAGGGGUAACUGGAAUUCCUGGUGUAGCGGUGAAAUGCGCAGAUAUCAGGAGGAACACCGAUGGCGAAGGCAGGUUACUGGGCAGUUACUGACGCUGAGGAGCGAAAGCAUGGGUAGCGAACAGGAUUAGAUACCCUGGUAGUCCAUGCCGUAAACGGUGGGCGCUAGGUGUGAGGGUCUUUUCACGACUUUCGUGCCGUAGCUAACGCAUUAAGCGCCCCGCCUGGGGAGUACGGCCGCAAGGCUAAAACUCAAAGGAAUUGACGGGGGCCCGCACAAGCGGCGGAGCAUGUGGAUUAAUUCGAUGCAACGCGAAGAACCUUACCUGGGCUUGACAUACACUGGAUCGCUGCAGAGAUGUAGUUUCCCUUUGUGGCUGGUGUACAGGUGGUGCAUGGUUGUCGUCAGCUCGUGUCGUGAGAUGUUGGGUUAAGUCCC